AAAUUAAAAACUUAGUCAAAUAUCCAGUUGUUAACAUUGACAAGUCUUCAAUACUCCCCCUUGAUUGAAAAUUAUAAACGCCAAUUUGACUAAAGUUUCUACCACAAGAUCUCUAAUAAAAUGGAGUCAUAUAUCUACAUGCUUUGUUCUUCCUUGGUACACAGGAUUUUUCAUCAUUGAAAUUGAAGUUUGUUGUCGCAUAAAAUU
rnacentral:lncRNA from 1 species